rnacentral:rRNA from 1 species
GUCUAUGUCCAUGCUACCCUGAACAAGCCUGAUCCUGUUUGAUCUCAGAAGCUAAGCAGGGUCAGGCCUGGUUAGUACUUGUAUGGGAGACCACCUAGGAAGACCAGGUGCUGCUGUAG